rnacentral:lncRNA from 1 species
CUCCAUGCCGUGACUGAACAUGCUGAUCCAGUUUACUUUACAGGUAUAAAUAUAACUCAACUUUUCAUAAUGAUCAUUAUUUCACUUGGAAUAGAAUUAACAGAUAUGAAAGUCGGGACGGUCUUACUUUUGCUGGCUGUGUGCGUCGCAACAGUGUAUUGCUGUACCACCGACGCAGAUUGUGUAGGUACCGUAAACUGUGGCGAGGGUCAAGAGGAAUUUUGUCAUGGCAACCACUGUCACUGCGGUCACUUCCAGGUUUGCGCAGACGACAGCGACUGUCAUGGUCAUUGUAACGCCGGUGGAACACCAACGUGCGACGCAAACAACCAUUGUCAUUGUAACUAACGAACGGUUUUGGACACUGAAAGAUGAAAGAGACAUUGUGGAUAUAUAUGUGCAAAGAAAAAAUAUUGUUUUGUGUUGUUUUUUUUCUGAAAAUGAAUGCCGAAAACUUUUAA